GGGGCACGGGGCGCCGGGCGGAGAUGCGGGGGUCGGGCCGUCUAGAAGCAUUCUGCACAGCGCGUGGGGGUGCAAGACGGCGCUCCAGACACUGUCGGGGGCACGAGGGGGUUGCAGGCUCACCAGAGGCCAAGAAGCAGAGGGCUCCAAAAGUUGGUGUGGAAGUGGAAUUCAUGAUGAAGUUGUGCUGGUACAAGAUGAUUCUGAAGCUCGUGAUAGUUUUUUCAUAAUAACCCUCCUGUGUUAUGGAGAAAAAGUCACAACGACCUUCCCUAAUCAUGCCCAAAAAAUGCACUGCUGUGCUUGGCACGCCAUGCUGGGUACAACACAGCCACACAGCAGCAGUGCAGGGACGCCUCUGGUGUGGAGCGCCGGGCACAGACACGGAGACGCGGGCACCUCGGGCCGGCACUGCCUGCCGGCGAGUCAGGAGGCGCCAAGAGGGAGUCGCUUUUCAGAGUACUGAACACAAAGAACACGGUAACAGUGGCGGGACCAGCGGAUCCGCGGAUUCGGUUACACACGCUGGGUCAGCUGGGAUGAGCAAGGGGAAGGAGCCGCCGACCAGGUCAGCAGUGCUUCUGUCCAGAACACACACACGACAGCCAGACAGGCCCUGCGAGCCCCUGAAGGCGGCAGCCGCUCUGGGACACACCACCACCACUUCCAUAUGAGCGAAGACCGCCUGGCGCUGUGCCGAGGAUGGGCCGGUCUCCUUGACUGCGCCUGGAAGCGGCCAGUGUCCCCACAUCACAGCGUCUUCCUGGAACAGUGCAGUGCUGGGAUUAUCACACAGGUGAUCUCCCUGGAGUUUUUGGAAUAGAGAUUUCAGUCUUGUUUCUAAAACCAGGAAAUAGGUCAAAAGAUCUGCCAGACCGGUUCAUCCGAGUGGUGGGGAGACAGGGACAGGGUCUCGGUGCCGUCGUCCCAGCGGCAGCAAGGACACCUGAGAGCAGCACAGUUCGCCCAGGUCACAAGCAGUAGUGGCCCAGCGCUGUGGGCAGUGGGUGAAGCCACACCUGGACCCCAGCAGCCCACAUGGGCACUGGUUCGAGUCCUGGCUGCUCCACUUCUGAUCCAGCUCCCUGCUAGUGGUCCGGGAAGACAGUGGAACACGGCGUAACUGCCUGGGCCCCUGCCAGCCAUGUGGGACACCAGGUGGAGUUCCUGCUCCCAGCUUCGGCCUGGCCAGUCCUGGCCACCGUGGCCAUCUGGGGAGUGAAGCAGCAGGUGGAAGACCGCCCUCUUCUCUCUUCCCCUCUCUGUCCCCCUGACUUUCAGAUGAGUAAGUAGGUAUUUAAAAAUAAAAUAAAAGCAGUACGGCAGGACUGAGGAGAAGCAGGGGUGCCCAAACCUUAGACUUGGCGUGGCGUGGCGUGGCGUGGCGUGGUGGGACGGCCAGGCCAGAGCGGAGGGCUGUCAAACUGCCCAGUGCCCAGGUCAGACUUCUUUUUGGGACUCUCUCAGGAAAGGAGUCUCGCACAAGGCCACUUGCACAAGGAUACGUCUCUCUGCCCAAUUUGAGGGAAAACUGCAGAGUGGAAUUGCUAUCGCAAAACAUUUGUAAAACAGAUACUAAAAGAGAAAACCAGCGCGCGGACUUGUAUGAAACGCCGACCUGGGGAGCCGCAUGAAGGGCGCCGUGAACCUCUCGUCCUGUGAAGAGCUGGGUUUCUGUCCGCCGCGAGCGCAGCGCUGGGCGGGUGCACUGUGCACCUGAGCGUCCGCGGCCAUAUGGGCCUGCAGGGCGGCCGGCAGCCACUCGGGAAACACUUGCGCGCGGCCAAGGAUUUCUCUUGAGGAGCUGAUUACAGCGCACAGCGGUCAGGACUGAACCCGCAGCCUCGCGGCGUGGACGGGCAGCCGGCGCGUGCACGGCCCCUGGGCUCUGUGACAGGACCGCCAGCCGGAACCACCGCCUUGUAGCGCUGAGGGGGGGGGACGGCAAGGAGGCAGCGCCCUGGAAGACGCACAGCCUUCCUCUGCCACACGCCUGCGCAGCUGCAAGAGAGGGAGGAGGGCUGCUCCGAGAGGCGCCCACAGACGUGACCAGGGCGAAACUGGCCGCGGGCGGGGCCCACGACGCGGAACAGGAGGCAGCCCGAGGGGGGCUCCGGCCCACCGCGCGCCCGCCUGCCCUGCCCGAGCGCUGGGCCGCAUCGCUGGGGAGAAGCGACGUCACGAAGAAGUUUACUUGGCUGCAAGAGAACUUGAAAUCAUCAAAAGUUGUGAAAGAUGCCUAUUAGGAAACACUUGAGUGAAUUUAAAAACAUUUUUUUCCUCAACAUAAGCUUCCCUUUGGAUUCCCCUUUCCCAGGGUUUUCUGAGGGCUCCGGAGGACGGAAGGCCUGACUGCCCUGCUCUGCGGGUGCACCAAGGCACAGUAGGGGGAGGAGGAAGUAAGUGGCCGGGUCAGUCCUCAGCUUCACCCAGCACAGGAAACGGGCUCUCAGGGCUGCUGGUGACGACAGCGCCCCCUGGCAGAACCCGGCUCCAGCCCCGGGCUCCUGGCUUCUGCCUGGACCAGCCCCGGCCGUUGCUGGCAGUAGGGGAGUGAACCAGCGGACAGAAGAUGUCUUCCCCCAGCCUGUUCUGCCUUUCAAGCUAAUAAAAAAUUUUUAGAAAGAAAAUGCA